rnacentral:rRNA from 1 species
GAUAUGGCUCAGGACGAACGCUGGCGGCGUGCUUAACACAUGCAAGUCGAACGAAGAGCGAUGGAAGCUUGCUUCUAUCAAUCUUAGUGGCGAACGGGUGAGUAACGCGUAAUCAACCUGCCCUUCAGAGGGGGACAACAGUUGGAAACGACUGCUAAUACCGCAUACGAUCUAAUCUCGGCAUCGAGGAUAGAUGAAAGGUGGCCUCUACAUGUAAGCUAUCACUGAAGGG